GUUGGUGUGUGUGUGUGUGUGUGUGUGUGUGUGUGUGUGUGUGUGUGUGUGUGUGUGUGUGUGUGUGUGUGUGUGUGUGUGUGUGUGUGUGUGUGUGUGUGUGUGACAGGUGGGUAACUGCCCCUGGGACCCAGUGGCAUAUAGACAUCGCUUUACUUACACAUUGCUGGUGCACUGGAGCAAUGUGCACCACACACAUGCACACUAACAUGUGUGUCUUGACAGCAUGCUUAGUGGACUGUUUCCAUCCAUGCAUGCACAGUGACGGGCAACAUCACCACAGAGAGUCAGCUCUUUGUGCCGCAUAUAAACCCUGUUGAGUAGGCUGUAUAACGAAAGGUCCCUUAACCCCGGUGACAGCGAGGAGUUUGAUAUUGAAACCCAUGAAUCUGUUCCCAUGGGACCCCUUCCAGAGGCCUGUACUAUGAAGUGAGUUCAACAUAUCUUCUCAUUAUCUGGCUUAACUAACUCUAAAAACCUACUUUCAUAUCUUAUAAUCACCAACAGCGUAUAUAAAAGUACCGGUAGCCCAGUAACGCAAGGCAAUGCAAACAGUCUGCGUGACUGUAAAUGCACAACUACGCCGUAUUUAUUAAUUUAUUUUUGAUUUGCUCCUCCGUUUCACAUAGUCUGCAAUUUUUUUUGCCAGCUGUCCUUCCUGCAUUUGUCAGUUUAAUCUGUGUUGCUUUUAGCCUGGAUUAUAACUGUAACUUCUUCGUGUUUGUGUAAUAUUAUCAUACGAUCCGCACACCGAGCUCUGAUUAGGUCAGUAGGUGGUGCUUUUAUACUCAACCCCCAGAGCAGGUUAGCUGUUCAGCAUAAGUUACCAUGGCGAUCUCCCCCGGUAAGAAGUGAAGCACCGUCGUAGGACUGAAAACCCUGAAGGGGUUAAACCUGAAGUUACCUUGCUAACCCCAAAUCCUGCUUCGUAGGAUUAGUAGCUUACUCUAUAUUGUAUCUUGAUUUAUUUAUAUUUUAUAGAAUAAAUAAUCAAAUCAAAUCAAAUCAAAUAAUUUCAUGCAGUUUGUGUUUCUAUCUUAAAGGAACAGUGUGUAGGAUCUGGCGGUAUCUAACGGUGAGGUUGAGAUUGCAACCAACUGAAGCCUUUCCCUUGUGCCAAGCUUGUAGGAUUUCUACGGUGGCCGAUGCUAUCUAGAGCCAGCGCUUAGAGUGUGUGUGCGUGUGUGUGUGUACGAGGGAAGUGAGUGGUGAAGCAAGAGAGAGAGAGAGCGGCGGCGACGGGAGCGAGUAAAGUUAUCGACUCCGACACAAGCAGGGAAAGUUAACAGUGUUUGGUUCGUCCGUUCUAGGCUGCUUUAGAAACAUGGCGGUGCAGCAUGGCGGACUCCGUGGA